CCUACGGGAGGCAGCAGUAGGGAAUCUUCCACAAUGGGCGAAAGCCUGAUGGAGCAAAGCCGCGUGGGUGAAGAAGGUCUUCGGAUCGUAAAACCCUGUUGUUCAAGAAGAAAGUGCGUGAGAGUAACUGUUCACGUUUCGACGGUAUCUAACCAGAAAGCCACGGCUCACUACGUGCCAGCAGCCGCGGUAAUACGUAGGUGGCAAGCGUUAUCCGGAUUUAUUGGGCGUAAAGGGAACGCAGGCGGUCUUUUAAGUCGGAUGGGAAAGCCUUCGGCUUAACCGGAGUAGUGCAUUGGAAACUGGGAGACUUGAGUGCAGAAGAGGAGAGUGGAACUCGAGGUGUAGCGGUGAAAUGCGUAGAUAUAUGGAAGAACACCAGUGGCGAAAGCGGCUCUCUGGUCUGUAACUGACGCUGAGGUUCGAAAGCGUGGGUAGCAAACAGGAUUAGAUACCCCGGUAGUC
rnacentral:rRNA from 1 species